rnacentral:lncRNA from 1 species
GAGAGUUAAGUAUUUGGAUUUAUUUCUCCAAAAAAAAAAAGGUUUUGAUGUGCAUUUGUCAUAAGGCAAAUGCUAUGAAUGUAUUUAGCAGUUUAUUUUGAGAAUUGAUCAUAUGUUUAAUAAAAAAUUAAAAUAUAUAGCACACAAUGUAUUUGCUAGAAUUCAUGAUUUUGCUUUAUAGUUUUAAAAACAUUUUUCUUCAAUGCAUGUGUUAACGACUGCCUGAAUUGACAACCACACGACCUUAGUUCCUUAUGAAUCAUCAUGCAAUGACUUUUAUACUGGAUGUGAGGUGACCUUCGAAUUUAUUUCUUAAAUUCUAGUACUGUUGUAGAUUAGUGUUGUAUUAGGCUUCCUUACAUUAGUACAUCGUCUCUGUCUCACAAUCCAAAAGCAGUUGAGUUUCCAAAUCCACCAAGAUGUCCCUAAUUGAGCCACGGUAUAGAUGUAGAGAUUGAUGCAUAUUUCACGUUCUAUUGUGAUUUUAAAAUUUUAAAUGCAUUUGAAUUUGUUUCCCUUUCUUUAAAAUUUUUCAUUUUAUUAUUUCUAAGUUUUCUUUCAUGAGAUUUUUUCCACCAUGUCUAUCAUGUGUUGACUUAUUCAUUUGGAAAGGCUACAAUUAUGACUAAUUUUUUUUUCAUAGUUGUCACUUCUUAAUUAAUGCUAUAAUGGAGAAAUUAAAGGCUUGAAAAGACUCUACCGCCAAUUACAAAUACAGGCCUACGAGGAAAGAAUUGUGCAUGAAAAACCCUUUAAGCUUCCAUAGUCUAUUCAUCUCUUUUCUUUUGAUAUUUUUCCAUCUCUAUUGUUAGACACUUGAAAGAUUGUAGGUUCUCAUGACCCUCUUUGGAACUAUGCUGACGGAGAGAAAGAGUGGUAGUCCACCAGAUCGUUGUAUCUUUAGGAGCGGACAUGUCGGGAGCCUCGCACGUGGAGGGACGAUACCAUUUCUAGAACAAUACCUUGUGCGCCUCGACCGAGCUACUCUCAACACUUGAUUUUCAUGUUUAAGUCUUAUUUACAUGCAUGUGAUGUUCUACAUCAUUACAAUAGCAUUUAUUAU